CGGCGGACGGGUGAGUAACGCGUGGGUAACCUGCCUCAUACAGGGGGAUAACAGUUAGAAAUGACUGCUAAUACCGCAUAAGACCACAGGGCCGCAUGGUCCGGUGGUAAAAACUCCGGUGGUAUGAGAUGGACCCGCGUCUGAUUAGCUGGUUGGUGGGGUAACGGCCUACCAAGGCGACGAUCAGUAGCCGACCUGAGAGGGUGACCGGCCACAUUGGGACUGAGACACGGCCCAAACUCCUACGGAAGGCAGCAG
rnacentral:rRNA from 1 species